UCAGGGAGGACAGGUGGUGGCAUGGUUGUCGUCAGCUCGUGUCGUGAGAUGUUGGUUAAGUCCCGCAACGAGCGCAACCCUUAUUGCUAGUUACCAUCAUUAAGUUGGGGACUCUAGCGAGACUGCCAGUGAUAAACUGGAGGAAGGUGGGGAUGACGUCAAAUCAUCAUGCCCCUUAUGACCUGGGCUACAAACGUGAUACAAUGGCUGAAACAAAGGGCAGCGAAGGAGCGAUCUGGAGCGAAACCCAAAAAGCAGUCUCAGUUCGGAUUGAAGUCUGCAACUCGACUUCAUGAAGUCGGAAUCGCUAGUAAUCGCGGAUCAGAACGCCGCGGUGAAUACGUUCUCGGGGUUU
rnacentral:rRNA from 1 species